CAGAAUCACCACCAGUUUCUGUGCCUGUGGUUGUGCCUGUGGUCGCUGCAGUUGUUCCACUCAUGCUUCUCGCUGCUUUGGGUGCCAUUCUCAUAAUAAGACGAAGAUCUGUGGCUGUUAAUGCAGGUGACACAACAACUGAAGUUAUCUACACGAUUGUUAAUGUGAAAAAAAAGAAUUGAAAACUGAAUUCAGAAAACAACGCAGUGCCCAACAAUCGCUUUUCAAUUCUACUAAUAAUAAAAUAUUGUUUAAGCAAAGGUUUAAUUUUGUUCUGCUGUUUUUAUUCACUAAGAAAUGUUUAAACAUUUUUUAGAUUAAAUGUAUUUUUCUUUGAUGAGCUAAUCUGUCAUAUGGUAAGCAUGCAUUACUUCAUUUAUAAACAAUUUCUGCAUUUCAUUCUGUUUCAUUCUUUUUUUUUUGUAUAUUUACUCAACCUAGGUGCACAAUGAGAAAGUUUCAGACAUAUUUAAAAUUCCGUCUGUAGAUAACAGAGUUUGUAAAAGAAAAUGUCUGGAUUCUGAAAGUUAAAGUAUGCAAAGUAAAAAAUAAUAAUACUGGCCCCAGGAUAGGGCCUUGGGGCACACCAUGAGUUAUAGUGAAAUACUCCCAGCACUAAAGGCUGUAAAACCUUUGAAUCUUAAAGCUGCUUUAUGCCAUGUGAACUGUGGUAAAUCUGCUAUAUGAAUGAAUGUAUAUUUAAGUGUAUUAAAGCAAAAUAAAAAUCACUUCAGAUUCUUGAUUUCUUUGCUCUUUUAUAAACUGCAUGUCUCAUUAACACAAUAAAUCAUAGCAUGGAAUAAUUAGAUAAGUCAUUGUUUCUGAAUGUAAGAAUUAGUUGACUCAAAAAAA